rnacentral:rRNA from 1 species
GAGUUUGAUCAUGGCUCAGGACGUACGCUGGCGGCGUGCUUAACACAUGCAAGUCGAACGGGCCUUGUCCUCUUUUUUUUUGGGGGUGGGGUUAGUGGCGAACGGGUGAGUAACACGUGAGUAACCUGCCCCUCACUUCUGGAUAACCGCUUGAAAGGGUGGCUAAUACGGGGUGUUCUGGCCUGCUCGCAUGGGUGGGUUUGGAAAGAUUCGACCGGUUUUGGUUGUUUUGGUGGGGGAUGGGCUCGCGGCCUAUCAGCUUGUUGGUGGGGUGAUGGCCUGCCAAGGCUUUGACGGGUAGCCGGCCUGAGAGGGUGGGCGGUCACACUGGGACUGAGACACGGCCCAGACUCCUACUGUUUUUUGCAGUGGGGAAUAUUGCACAAUGGGCGGGGGGGGGGGGCAGCGACGCCGCGUGAGGGAUGGAGGCCUUCUGGUUGUGAACCUCUUUCGCCAGUGAAGAAGGUCCUGCUCUUUGUGGUGGGGUUGACCGUAACUGGGUUAAUGAAGCGCCGGCUAACUACGUGCCAGCACCCGCGGUAAUACGUAGGGCGGCGAGCGUUGUCCGGGAAUUAUUGGGCGUAAAGGGCUUGUAGGCGGCUGGUCGCGUCUGCCGUGAAAUCCUCUGGCUCAGCUGGGGGCGUGCGGUGGGUACGGGCUGGCUUGAGUGCGGUAGAGGAGACUGGAACUCCUGGUGUAGCGGUGGAAUGCGCAGAUAUCAGGAGGAACACCGGUGGCGAAGGCGGGUCUCUGGGCCGUUACUGACGCUGAGGAGCGAAAGCGUGGGGAGCGAACAGGAUUAGAUACCCUGGUAGUCCACGCUGUAAACGUUGGGCACUAGGUGUGGGGGGCCUUUUCCGGGUUUUCCGCGCCGUAGCUAACGCAUUAAGUGCCCCGCCUGGGGAGUACGGCCGCAAGGCUAAAACUCAAAGGAAUUGACGGGGGCCCGCACAAGCGGCGGAGCAUGCGGAUUAAUUCGAUGCAACGCGAAGAACCUUACCAAGGCUUGACAUGGGCUGGAUUGCUUCGGAGACGGGGUUUCCCUUUUUUGGGCUGGUUCACAGGUGGUGCAUGGUUGUCGUCAGCUCGUGUCGUGAGAUGUUGGGUUAAGUCCCGCAACGAGCGCAACCCUUGUCUCGUGUUGCCAGCACGUUGUGGUGGGGACUCGCGGGAGACUGCCGGGGUUAACUCGGAGGAAGGUGGGGAUGACGUCAAAUCAUCAUGCCCCUUAUGUCUUGGGCUUCACGCAUGCUACAAUGGCCGGUACAGUGGGUUGCGAUGCUGUGAGGCGGAGCGAAUCCCUGAAAGCCGGUCUCAGUUCGGAUCGGUGUCUGCAACUCGACACCGUGAAGUUGGAGUCGCUAGUAAUCGCAGAUCAGCAGCGCUGCGGUGAAUACGUUCUCGGGCCUUGCACACACCGCCCGUC